AGAAGGGGUCAUUCUCCCUGGAGAUGUGGUCACGUCAUUAACCACACUGGGUUAGAAUCAUCAGAAGCUGUUCCUGCCUCUUCCGUCAAGCAAGGGGCUCUGGAGGCCAGAAAAUGCCUAUGAAUCAUGCCCACACCCCCAGAGCCCAGCAUGGGGCGGGCUCAGGUUAGGUCAAUCGUGUUUGAAGACUGAAUAAAUGAAUGUCUUCAUUUGCUACCCUCAGAAGCCCAGUCCGGAAAAAUAUUCCAGUGCAAGGUUUUUGGCUUGAAUGAGAUCCCAAGAAUCACCUUCAGGUUGUCAGGAAAAUGAUACAGGGAAGGGAAGGAGCCAACAAAGGGUAUGGGAAUGAGCACAUAACACUAUGGACAGCUGGGGAACCUUGGGCGAUGAUGCAGAACUGUUUAUCACUAACUCUCACCAGGUCAGUUGUGCAUCAAGGCUACUCGGGGGAUAGCACUUUACAGCCUACUCUAGCACCACGGUGGCCUUCUGGGGCAGGGGCCAGCAGGCUGCAGCUGCUGGAUGAAGCCCCCAGGCAGAGUCGCUGGUCCUCAGGUGCUCAAGCUUAGCUGGAAGCCUUCAGGUUGCUGUGCAAUGGAAUACUGCCUGGCCUACUGGGUGUGGCCGCCAGUUAUCGGACCCCGCACCCUCCACCUACCUUUCCCCAGGUUUGCGCGGGGCCUGCCGGCCUGCCCGCCCGCCC
rnacentral:lncRNA from 1 species